rnacentral:rRNA from 1 species
UGCGUAGGUGGUAGGGUAAGUCGGAUGUGAAAGCUCGGAGCUCAACUCCGAAAUGGCAUUGGAAACUACCCAACUAGAGGGUCGGAGGGGGGACUGGAAUUCUUGGUGUAGCAGUGAAAUGCGUAGAUAUCAAGAGGAACACCAGUGGCGAAGGCGAGUCCCUGGACGACUCCUGACACUGAGGCACGAAAGCUAGGGGAGCAAACAG